GACAGCAUUACUGCGUAGGUCGACUCUCUGCUUACAGAUGAGAAGCUGAGACUUCGUUAACUCACUGCAGCUUUUUAGAACAAGGUUUAUUCGGAGUGGGGAGAACACUCAAAAUCCAGUUUUAUAAAUCUUUGAGAAGACAUCAUUAAUCGUGAUUGUCUACAGGUUAUACGUGACGAAACUAAAAUGUAUAUGGAGGACCAGCACCAGAUUAGAAAUUGUGUGUUCAGAGAACUGUGAGACUAAACAGAAAGCUAGUUUGGAGAGGAGGAAAGAUAUCAUUCCGGCGAGAACAGCUACCAUGAAAUGAAGUGGAAUAUUGUUUUGAUCAUUGCUAGGAUAAAAUUCCUGACACCAACAAUUUCAAAGAGAGCAGGUUUAUUUUUGCUCACGUUUUGGGAACUUCAGUCCUUGCACGGUUGGCUGCUGUGGAUCAAGCUUGCGUAGCGGAAGGGCGGGCCCAGGGGAAAGCUGCCCGCGAGUGGCCGCCGGGAAGCCCAGCCUGGAGGGUCCGAGAAGAGAGCUCCGCCUGUCAGGGUCGCUCCUCCAUGAUGCCCCUUCGAUGGGACCCCAUCUCUUAGCGCCAGGUCACCCGUCACCCCGAGUUCAGUCACCUUCCAAGCGCAUGAGGCUUUGAAGGCCAUUUUUGAACUAAACCAUAACAAAUACAGUAAACAUUUGGUUUCUGUGAUAA